rnacentral:rRNA from 1 species
AUACGUAGGUGACAAGCGUUAUCCGGAUUUACUGGGCGUAAAGGGCGUGUAGGCGGUCUUGCAAGUCAGAAGUGAAAUUCCUGAGCUCAACUCGGGCGCUGCUUCUGAAACUGCAGGACUUGAGUGCUGGAGGGGAUAGCGGAAUUCCUAGUGGAGCGGUAAAAUGCGCAGAUAUUAGGAAGAACACCGGUGGCGAAGGCGUGUAUCGGGACAGUACCUGCCGUGGAGGCGCGAAAGCGUGGGGAGCAAACAGGAUUUGAUACCCUGGGAGUCCACGCUGUAAACGAUGAAUACUAGGUGUAGGGGGUAUCGACUCCCUCUGUGCCGCAGUGAACACAAUAAGUAUUCCGCCUGGGGAGUACGGCCGCAAGGUUGAAACUUAAAGGAAUUGACGGGG